CUACGGGGUGCUGCAGUCGAGAAUCUUUUUCAAUGGGCGAAAGCCUGAAAAUGCGACGCCGCGUGCAGGAUGAAGGUUUUCGGAUCGUAAACUGCUUUUGUUAGGAAAGAACAUUUAAUGGUUAAUACCCGCUGAACUGACGGUACCUAACGAAUAAGCCACGGCCAACUCCGUGCCAGCAGCCGCGGUAAUACGGAGGUGGCAAGCGUUACUCGGAAUCAUUGGGUGUAAAGGGCAAGUAGGCGGUUCAUUAAGUGAGGGGUGAAAUCUUCCGACUCAAUCGGAAAACUGCCUUUCAAACUACUGAACUUGAGGUCGGAAGAGGGAAACGGAAUUAGCAGUGUAAGGGUGAAAUCUGUAGAUAUUGCUAAGAACACCGGCGGCGAAGGCGGUUUCCUGGUCCGAAUCUGACGCUGAAUUGCGAAAGCUAGGGGAGCGAACAGGAUUAGAUACCCCUGUAGUC
rnacentral:rRNA from 1 species